AUCCAGCAGGAACACAAGUGGAGCCAAAGACCCACCGAGGCGUGCCGUGAAGGAGGUGUAUCCCAUUCCAUUCUGCCUGAAAAGCCUUUCUAAGAAUAUAGAUAAGGAAUAUGAUGGAAACAAUUGCUGCAAAGUUAAGACUGGAGAGGAAGAAGCAUGCUAUGAAUGACCCAACGUCCUGCUCCUGCUCAACCAGUGAAUUUCUUUAAUUGCAUGUGAAACACGAGAACCCAGUAUCAGAGGAAAAGGACGGAUACUUCAUCUAUAGAUUUUAAAGCAUUAAGAAUGGUGAUUAACAGGAACUACUGGCCAGAAUCAUAGAAUCAUAAAGGUUGGAAAAGACCUCUAAGAUCAUCAUGUCCAACUGUCACUGUUCAUCCCCACCAUGCCCACUGAUCACAUCCAUCAGUGCCACGUCUCUGUGGUUCUUGAACACCUCCAGGGAUGGUGACUCCACCACCUCCCUGGCAGCCUGUGCCACUGCCCAACUGCUCUUUUGAAGAAGUAGGCACCCUGUACACCCACAGCCUCACCAUACUUACCCAGAGGCAAGAUGAUCAGGGACACACCACUGAGGGCCACCCCGGUGAGGGUUCUUGUGACAGCCAGCAUGCUGUAGGAGACGGAGCAGGCACUCAGCAUCCCAAAUAUGACAGAGAUCACAAGUGACAGCAUGAGGAUAGAUUUCCGGCCGAACCUAUCAAAGCACAGAGAGGGUUAUUUACAGGCUGAAAAUGUGUCCCAGGAAUAGGGUUUGAAAUGAGGCAAAGCAGAGACUUAAGGAGGUUGAUACAUAGUCUGCACUGCAAAGAUUAUGUGGUACCCCAGAGUGGAGGGAUUUGCUGGAUAUUGCCAGUGCUGCAGCGAUGUGAUCCCAUUAAAAGGGUCAGGAAGCCUCAUGAUCACUGGGCAUGAGUCUCUCCAAUGGAAAGAGAAGCAAUGAUAAAAAAGAAUGAUAUACUGGGCUCCCCAUUCAAUGCCACUAUGAUAAUAAGUGAUGUCAGCUUGAACAUGCAUGCUGAGGUUGCUCCUCAAGGAUUUUGGAAGUUGUAUGACCUGACCCUGUGCAGAGUCCUGUGGGGAGAGUGUAGAGAAAUAUAGGAAUUCAGAUACAUGUAGAUGUGCUUAGGCAUUCACUCUCACGCCAACAAUGUGCAUAUGUGUUUCUACACAAACUGUGGAAAUGUAAAAUUCAACAUGGAGCAUAAGGUUGGGAUUUCAAUGAAAAUUUUGACAAAUCCAAAAGCAGAGAGGACCUUCCAGCAAAUAUCAGCCCCGCAUGUGAUGGUUUGAAACUGGCCUAGUAAUUAAAUCUGUCAACAGGACACAUUCAGUCUGUAGGGACUGAUUCUGGCAUUCUCCCAGUGGCCACCUGAUAGGGAUGGUGGCAAGGACCUUUACACCAGGGGGUGAAAUGAUGUGCUGGGACAUAGUAACACCAUAACAUUCUUAAGAACAGUCACAGGUAACUUCAUGCAGCAGCUAGUUAACACGUCUGCUGGAGAAGAAUCAACUCUUCGUGAUAGCCUAGGCAGUUUUCUGGAUCUACUGUAAAAUUUAUACAGAUGCACCUGGGUCAGUGCAGCAAGCAUCCAGUAACUCACCAGUGCUGGAUCCCAUUUCCAAAAUUAGCACAAGGCUGCUAUUUAUGGACCCAUUAGUAGACUCUCGCAGCAAAUGCACACCACCUGCUAACGGAACCAGAGAGAAGCUGACAGGAUCGAACUGCUACAAGGAGGCUGCCAGAAGUAAUGCAGUUAAAACUGCCUUCAAAGAGAGAGAGAAAUGGAAAAGCCCAACCUCUGAAUGUUUAUAUGUGGAAAAUAUAAUAAAAAGAGCAAACUGUGCAAGGAUAAAAAUGAAUAAAAAAGCAGUUUUCAUAAAUAUCCCAAUCUGGGAGUCUGCCAGAGCGUGAUGCAGCCAAUGAGAUACAAUAACAAAGGUACAAAAGGAGA